UUAAAGCACAAAUGACACUGACAGAAUCCACCACUCUGGGCUCUAGCGGCACCACAUCCUCACCGGCAGGUGGAAGCACAUUAGGUGGCGUUCCCAACACAAACCCAGAUACUACGACCACCAGCUCCAAAGAAGCGUUCCAACCAGUGAUUGUUCACCUAACAGCUUCUGUUUCGUCCCAAAAUGGGGGAAAUGAAGAUGCAAUUUUAAGGGCCUUCAAUAAAUUUCUAUCCCAGUCUAUUUUCCAGACCGGCUGUAAUGACUGCACUGUGCGCAUCAAACGAAUUAAACGCACUUGACAAAUGGUCCAUGUUCAGCCGCUGAAAACAAGAACAUGCAACACCUCUCAGAAACAGCAUCAUUUAUUGAAGGAAACAUUUACUAGAACUGCUUUAGGAAAAAGGUACUAAUUAUGUUUUAAUUACAUUAGGCUGCUGCUUUGUCUGGAACUUGGGUAAUGGCAUGUAUGGAAGGUAACAAAUUAGAUUGCGUUAAGUUGUUUGUAUCACUGAUCGUUCGAUUUUACAGGGAAAUGUAACAAACGAAAAAUUAAAAGUAAAAAAUUACUCUACUUGUGGAUGAAUAUGAAUCAGUCCAUACAUAUCACAAAAAGGAAUGCUACUCUCUAGCAACAUGCUACACUUGUUACUUUGACAGCAAGACAAUGGCCACAAACAUGUGUAACCCAACAUUGAAAUGAACCUUCAUUCUCACAGUGUUUACU